rnacentral:rRNA from 1 species
UACAGAGGUCUCAAGCGUUGUUCGGAAUUACUGGGCGUAAAGGGUGCGCAGGCCGCGCGGGCAGUCAAAUGUGUAAUCCAGGGGCUCAACCCCUGAACUGCGCUUGAUACUUCCGCGCUCGAGCUUUGGAGAGGAGUCUGGAAUUCUCGGUGUAGCAGUGAAAUGCGGUAGAUAUUGGGAGGAACACCAGUGGCGAAGGGCGGCUACCUGGACCGGUUCUGACGCUGAGGCGCGAAAGCGUGGGUAGCAAACAGG